UCGCGAUUCUUUGACCAGUUAAAGUUGUAAAUAAUAUCCAUGUAAUCAUCCAAGUGAAUAAUGUUAACAAAUUCAAAAAUCUUGUCGUCUGCUACUGUAAAUCGACAAAAGUGUGGGUUGUAUUUAAUUUGUACAUGACAUCGCCAUCCAUCAACAUGAUUCCAAAGUCAAGGUAUUUACGCUGAUCUCGUAAGUUUCGUUUAUUUGUUUUGUAUCCACGGUUUCUACCUGAGGUAUCCCUCGGGUUUGUAAUACAAGCUUCUCGAGACAUCGGCCCUUCCCUCACCCCGCCACCUAAUUCGCGAGCAUUACCGAGCACAGCCGAAGGGCCAUUCCUACUUAGAAAAUUAACCUAGCAAGACGUGUCGAGACGUGUCGGCGUUUCGCAACCGAGUCCCUGAUCGAAAUUCGACGCCAUGGAAAGUUUUAUUGGCGCGAAAACGACACCACAACAGAUGGCAGACGAGUCGAGAAAUUUUGGAGGGAAUAUGCAUUGUCUGUGAACUUGACUCUGAAAACCAGCAGAAGCUACCAGAAGAAGACCACGCGCGAACAACGUAAGUAUAAAUUUAUGCUUUGAAAUUUGUUAAUUAAAAAUCUCUGUAAUUUUAACAAUAAAUCAGGUUUCUUAAGAAACAAUUCUAUAAUACUUUGGGUCCUCCUC